rnacentral:tRNA from 1 species
CGGGGCGUAGCGCAGUCUGGUAGCGCACCUCGUUCGGGACGAGGGGGUCGGAGGUUCGAAUCCUCCCGCCCCGACCA